AUGUUUCCUUUGGGGGGGAGGGGGGACUGGAAUUAAACUUGUUUAAUCCAUACUUUGUAUCGUAGCUAUUUCUCAUAAAAGCAACUUAAAAUCUUAUGAAAAUCUUAUAGCAUUAUUAGACACAGAAGUUAAACAAAUUGUUUACAUAAACAUGGACUUCUAAUUUUUGAAAAAUUGGACUUUUCAUAAAACACAUCACAUUUCGUUGACUACUUUCAGAGAUGCAGAGGCGUUGUCAUUUGACUCCAAGCUAAAUAUUGCUUGCAACUAAAAUGUGCCACUCCACAGAACACAAACAAAAUUCUUUUUGACCUUUGACUUCUUGAAAACAUUUAUUUUGGAUAUAAAACUUAGUGCCCCAAACAAAUUUUACCCAAAGCCCCCUAUACAAGUAUAUAAAACCAUGAAAGCUUUAGCAGGUUUGAGGGUGGCAUGAAAUAGGUAUGGGGAACCAAAUACCCUAACCUCUACCCCAACCCCAUUAUCUGGGUCAACCUCAACGUAGUUAGGGUGUUUAAAAGCAUCCUAUCUUAUGUUCCACUUCAGUGUUUUACUCAAGGAAGAGCUCAUGCAGCUCAAUGAUUUGAUUCUAAGAAAUCCUUUCAGUGAUGAUGAAAACACCAUAUUGCACUUCUCUAGUUAAAAUUUUUAAAAGUGCUUUAAAAUACAUUAUAUUAUUUGUUAUACAUGGAGUUAUACUUUCACAGGUUUCCACAUUAGAGAAUUCCGUUUCUUUAAUGAAUCUUCAGCAAGUAAAUCUGUAUUGCAGAAAUAUCCAUUCCUAGGAAAAUCCCACAAAUGGUGACAGUCACUAGUAUAUUUUAUGAUUAUUUUUAUUUUUGAAAAAUCAAUACCUAAUGUUCCAUGGAAAGCUUUAAGUUGUUUUAGCAGUUCACUAAAAAAUGUCCAAAGACUUUAAAGCCUGACUUAAUUCAGCCAAGAUGGGCUAAUUAUAUGUAAUAGGCUUCUAUCCUAAUUACUUUUCUUAAAAAAAAAAGAUCUUUUUAAAUGUUCAUUCCAUCAAAAAACUAAGAAUAAGAAACAAGGAGUUUCUUUUAAUGCCCACUAUGAUCUGUACUAAUUUUCACUGCUCAGCUGUCACACAAUUAUAAUUGUUUAUAUACAUGUUAAAGAGAAAAAUAAAAAGAUUCACAUCUGAUACACUUCCAAAUAUACUUCACUCCCUUUUCUUCAACUUUGGGGUAUUAUCAGAAAAGUACUUUUCAAGACAUAAGAAAUAGUAAAGGAAAAGAAACCAUUUUUAGGACAUUCACAAUCCAAUUAAGUUCAUCAUCUCUUUAAUUAGGGGCAGAGAUGGGGAGAAUUUCAGAAGGUAGUGAAACCAAAGGUGGAUCCUCACAUACACCUGCUAUUCUCAUCAUCUUAAUCCAUCUGUUCACUGCUCCAGUCAUCAGUACUAAGCAUAGUAUUAUCAUAACGAGUACCUGGCUGUCAGGUUGUUGACAUUCAAGAGAUUAGAAAUAGUUUUCCAUCACGUUAUCCUACCAUAUCCAUGGUCUUCCUUGAAUUACCUUCCAGUAUUUACUGGGCUUCACCUACCACUUAUGUCUAGCUUAACUUUUUCUGACUUCACCAAUUGCUGCUAGGAACGUGGCUGGUCAUUCAGCAAUGUAACCCAAAUCGUAGGGGAAGACCUUGAAAUGUCUGGAGAGACUGAUCCGCUCUGAAUAAACUCAGUUCAAAGAAAUGCCAGGGAGCUGCAUCUGCUUGCUGAAAAUUUUGUCAGCUUUUUUCACUGUGGACAGACAACAAAGCUGGAGAGAAAAGAGCUAAAUUACUUAACUGGAAGUGAAGAUGAGCGUGCAAGAGUUGACCUGUAAUUACCUGAAGUCCACGUCUCCAAGGCUUGCUGGACCUGUCAAACUCUUUAACUUGUCAUUGUCUGGAUGGUAUGACAGUCCAGAAGACCUAGAAGAGUUCUGGCAUAAAAUGCGGACCAUCUACCAGUUGGGGAAGGAACCACUUGUAACAGGAACAAAAGGAUCCAUUUUUUAUUUCAACAAGUUGCAUUGAAGAUGAGUUUUUGGACAUUUAGAAGCCAGGAGACACCACCUAAACUGCAAGAUUAAAACCAAGGACUAAGGCACACUGGGAAAAGAAUGCUUAGCACUUGAAGAUUGAAUGUUGAAUACUACCUGCUGAAUGUUCCCAUUGAGAUUUUUUUCUAAACUUCACUAACAUUUUAGGACAAUAAACUGGAGAAGCAUUGAUCCCGGGGUGGAGUGCCGUACCACUGGCCAAUCUGAAGAGCUAAACCUGGAUUUGACUGCUGUAUUCUACCGGGAAUAUUGUUAGGCUAGCCUUUAACCAGUCUGUUAAACAAUUAUAAUCAUUAGUUGACCUAGCAAUCCCUCAAAUAUCAGAUAAAAGAUGAACAAAAUCCUUUCCUAGGUAUAAUUCUUAUCCCUAUUAAAGAGACGACAAUUUUCUAAUAUUGUGACUGCCAGUGUAACUUAAUUUCCAUUUCAGUUUGUUAGUAAGUGGUUUCCAUUUUAAAGCUGUUUGGAUGUUCAACACUAAUUAUUCAAUAGAAUGUGAUUGCAUAAUCAAGCUAUGGUAAAAGAAAGCCUGAAAUUGGGAUUAGAUUGCAGAUGGUCAGAUUUUAACAAUUUAAUUCAGUUUGAUUUGACAGCUUUUUCUUUCUUUGCUUAUUACCUUGAUAAUCCUAUUUAAUAUGUAUCAAAUAGAUAAUAUCCCUUGCGGUAAAGUACAUUCUCGGAAA